GGCAGCUGGGAAAAGCUCUGCCACACCGUCCGUAACGAGCCCAGAAGAUCCGAACCCACGCGAGUUAGACCCUCCUUCAGCUCUGUUACAGAUGGAAGAUGUUGUAGAAGCUCCUGCAGGUGGGGAAGCUGUAGUUGGGGUGGAUCCUCUUCAGCCCUCUGACUGUCAGGAACAUUCCUAUGGGUGAUCCGAAGGCGAAGAAGGCCUGCGGGUGGAACACCAGCUGGGGGUAAUCGAUCGACACCUGCAGGACAGAGCAGGACUCCUCUUUUAAAAGCCUGAAUUGAACAUUUUUCUUUUACUGGACUUUUGACAUCUGUAAGAUUUCUUAUGUGGAGCUAAAUCAUGCAAUCAAAAUACGCAGACCUCAUAAGGUCUGUACUCUACAACUCUGUAGAGUACUCUACUGUAUUCUACAACCCUGUAGAAUACUCCACUGUACUCUACUCUACUGUACUCUACUGUAUUCUACAACCCUGUAGAUUACUCUAUUGUACUCUACUCUACCACUCUGUAGAUUACUCUACUCUACGCUACAUAGUUAUAACAUCACAGUUCUGUAUAUAAUUUUCUGUAGUUCAGCAGAUCAAACUAAAGUUCCAAAUAAAAAAAAUAAUCAAAUCAUUAA